rnacentral:rRNA from 1 species
AGUUUAGCUAAUGUUGCCCGUACCGUAAACCGACACAGGUGGGUGGGAUGAGUAUUCUAAGGCGCGUGGAAGAACUCUCUUUAAGGAACUCUGCAAAAUAGCACCGUAUCUUCGGUAUAAGGUGUGGUUCGCUUCGUAUUAGGAUUUACUCCGAAAGCGAAGAAACUUACAACAAAGAGUCCCUCCCGACUGUUUACCAAAAACACAGCACUCUGCUAACUCGUAAGAGGAUGUAUAGGGUGUGACGCCUGCCCGGUGCUCGAAGGUUAAUUGAUGGGGUUAGCAUUAGCGAAGCUCUUGAUCGAAGCCCGAGUAAACGGCGGCCGUAACUAUAACGGUCCUAAGGUAGCGAAAUUCCUUGUCGGUUAAAUACCGACCUGCAUGAAUGGCGUAACGAGAUGGGAGCUGUCUCAAAGAGGGAUCCAGUGAAAUUGUAGUGGAGGUGAAAAUUCCUCCUACCCGCGGCAAGACGGAAAGACCCCGUGGACCUUUACUACAGCUUGACACUGCUAUUUGGAUAAGAAUGUGCAGGAUAGGUGGGAGGCUUUGAGUAUAUGACGCUAGUUGUAUAUGAGCCAUUGUUGAGAUACCACUCUUUCUUAUUUGGGUAGCUAACCAGCUUGAGUUAUCCUCAAGUGGGACAAUGUCUGGUGGGUAGUUUGACUGGGGCGGUCGCCUCCCAAAUAAUAACGGAGGCUUACAAAGGUUGGCUCAGAACGGUUGGAAAUCGUUCGUAGAGUAUAAAGGUAUAAGCCAGCUUAACUGCAAGACAUACAAGUCAAGCAGAGACGAAAGUCGGUCUUAGUGAUCCGGUGGUUCUGUGUGGAAGGGCCAUCGCUCAAAGGAUAAAAGGUACCCCGGGGAUAACAGGCUGAUCUCCCCCAAGAGCUCACAUCGACGGGGAGGUUUGGCACCUCGAUGUCGGCUCAUCGCAUCCUGGGGCUGGAGCAGGUCCCAAGGGUAUGGCUGUUCGCCAUUUAAAGCGGUACGCGAGCUGGGUUCAGAACGUCGUGAGACAGUUCGGUCCCUAUCUGCCGUGGGCGUAAGAAGAUUGAAGAGAUUUGACCCUAGUACGAGAGGACCGGGUUGAACAAACCACUGGUGUAGCUGUUGUUCUGCCAAGAGCAUCGCAGCGUAGCUAAGUUUGGAAAGGAUAAACGCUGAAAGCAUCUAAGCGUGAAGCCAACUCUAAGAUGAAUCUUCUCUAAGCUCUCUAGAAGACUACUAGUUUGAUAGGCUGGGUGUGUAAUGGAUGAAAGUCCUUUAGCUGACCAGUACUAAUAGAGCGUUUGGCUUAUCUUU